CAUCAACAGACAUGCAGCUAGAAACUUAGAUGAUGAACAUAGACUUACUGUAGCUUAAGUAUGGGUAGUGGCUCUUUGUAAGCAGUACCUUAUAGUGGAGAGCCUGGGGCAAGUGGAGAAGCUGAUCAUUAUAUUAACUAAACACAAAUAUAGCACAAAUAUAAUAUCUGUCAGGGUGAUUCACUAGAGUGAGAAUAAUUCAAAGUGAAUACAAUGUGAAUUUGAAAUUUAAGGUCAAAAAAGCCAAACUGGAAAAGUUAUUUAAGUUAGCAUUGCUUUCACUUCAGC